rnacentral:rRNA from 1 species
CAAGUCGAGCNGUACAGGAAAUUCGCUUGGCUAAUUUGAUGACGAUCGCCGGUACGCGUAGUUAAUGCGCGGGAAUAUUCCUACGUGUGGGGAAUCACUAGUUUAAACGAUAGCUAUUACCGCAUAUCUAUUCGGAGCAAAGAGGGGGAUCGUAGGACGUCUCGCGUCUGGAUCUCCCAGGUGAGAUUAGCUAGUUGGCGGGGUAAUGGAUCACCUAGGAGACGAUCCUUUGCUCAUCUGAGAGGAUGAUCAGGCUCAGAGGAAUGAGACACGGUCCAGACUCGGACGAGAGGCCGCAGGGGGGAAUAAUGCUCAAUGGGGGAAAUCGUGAUGCAGCCAUACCCAGCCUAAGAAGAAGGCCUUCGAGUUGUAAAGUACUUUCAGUUAUGAGGAAGGAAAUGAAGUUAAUAGUUUAAAUAUUUGUCGUUAGCUACUGAAGAAGCACAAGAUAAAUCCGCCCCAGCCGCCCAGGUAAUACGGAGGGUACGAGCGUUCAUCGGAAUUUCUGGGGGUAAAGCGCUAGCAGGCGGUCUGUUUAGUCAGUGAUGAAAACCCGGGGUUCAACAUCGGUCCACCUUUCAACAAGGCAGAUUAGAAUCGUGUAGAGGGGGGUAGAGUUUCAGGUGUAGCGGGAAA